rnacentral:rRNA from 1 species
AUUGAACGCUGGCGGCAGGCCUAACACAUGCAAGUCGAACGAGUGGCGGACGGGUGAGUAAUAUCUGGGAAACUGUCUGAUGGAGGGAGAUAACUACUGGAAACGGUCGCUAAUACCGCAUACCAUCGGAUGUGCCCAGAUGGGAUUAGCUAGUAGGUGGGGUAACGGCUCACCGAGGCGACGAUCCCUAGCUGGUCUGCGAGGAUGACCAGCCACCCGGGAACUGAGACACGGUCCAGACGCCUACGGGAGGAAGCAGUGGGGAAUAUUGCACAAUGGGCGCAAGCCUGAUGCAGCCAUGCCGCGUGUAUGAAGAAGGCCUUCGGGUUGUAAAGUACUUUCAGAGGGGAGGCGUUACCCGCAGAAGAAGCAACGGCUAACUCCGUGCCAGCCGCCGCGGUAAUUC